CGCGAUCGUGCUGAUCCCCCCUGAAGCGCGAUCGCGUGGGCGGCACCCUUUCCCCCAAUGGGUGUCGCCCUCCUCU
rfam:Microbacterium oleivorans strain RIT293 contigs9, whole genome shotgun sequence.